AAUUCAACCGUUAUAGUGUUGUGUUCUGCAUCUUGCUGUACAGUCCAGAUAAACCCUACCAAGUUCAAACAUAGAUAUCUUCUAUUACCCUGCCAUGGUGUACUUCCAGUAUGAACGGGUUUAUGUAUUGAGGCUUGCAGUAAACGUCUUUUACUAGAACCAUUCUCUAUUGUUGUAGUUCUGUCGAUCAACGCCUUCUGCUUUCUUUUCUUUGCAAGGUUUAAGUCGUUUUCAUCAACCAUAUAACUAUCACCAUCUAGGUCCAAAGAUGAAUCCAAUCCAUCAUGAUUGAUAAACUCAUUUUCCUCGUUGGCAGAGUUCCCAUCCAAAUCAUUGACGUUCUGACUUUGCUCAUCGUCAGAACCAAAAAGAUCAUCAAGCUCUUUGGAAGUACGGUUUUUACUUUUUGACGAAGUCAAAGGCUUCGUAGGAUCAUUUUCUUCCUUCAAUAUUGAUUUAGGAAUGACAUCCGGACAUGAAUACAAAAUUCCCUGAUUUGUAGUAAAUGAUAACACGUUUUCAAAUGGCUGCCAGGCGAGUGCCACCACUGUACUAUAGGGGAGCUCAACGACUACUUCAUGACUUUGUGUAUCCCAAAUUAAAAUGCCUCCUUUUUUAAAUGAAGCAGCUAUGUACAUUCCAUUACUGGACCAGGAGAUAUCUGUUACACCAGAAUGAUUCUCUUUUGGAAGAAGUUUGUACAAUGGAAGCCAGUCAUCAGGGGAAAUAACUGAUACAAAAUGGUCGGUACUCGCAACUGCAAAUGUCCCGUUUUUAGGAUGCCAAGCCGCCUUUGAGCAAAUUUCUGAUUCUGCCUCUAAAGAGGCAAUAGUGUUUGUUAAGAACUUGAUGAGUUCACGAGUUUGGGUGUCAUAAAAAUACAAAAUUCCAUUGCAACUGGAAACUGCUAAAAAAUUUCCGUUCGGGCUAUAAGUUACAUGUUUAUUCGAAGCCUUAGCUGGACGAAGAGAGAAAAUUUGUGAAGAAUCAGUGGACGAAACCACUUUCACUGCUGUUUCACUAUAUUUGUUAGGCUGAAAACGACCAAGUAGAGCAUUAUACACUAAAAAAAACUUACUCACUAGCUAUGGCAAUCCAAUUUCCAUCUACUGAAUAUGCCACAUCGCGAAUAGGAAGAGUAGUACGCGCCAGCAAUGUAUGCUCGGUAGGAGAAUCGAUGGGAUAUACGCAGACAGUUGCAUCUUCUGAACAAGUACAAAAAUAAUUUUCCUAUAUAAAAGUCAUUAGCUCCAAACUUUUUUGAGGACCACUUACAGCAACUGCAAUUCCUGUUAUAGGAUCUUGAUGAUUAUCAAUGGAGUCGGGUUCCUCAUCAGAACCAACCUGAAAUUUUCGGAUUACUUGAUUAGAACCGACCGUAAGAAGAAAUUUCCCAUCACGAGUAUACGCUAGACGCGUCAGUCCAUCUGUAUGGGCAUAUCUAGGAACUAGCCUAUUCCCUGCCAUAAUAGCUAGAGGAAGAGUUUGUAUAUGAGAUUGGGACUAGUAUGGCAAUAGCGAUACUUUCGUUAGCUAGUUACG